AGACAUUAAACAUUCACCAGCAGAGACGUGAGAGAGAACACAGUGAACACAGAUUGUGACCAGGGGAAGAUCCAAUGUAAAGGACACCAGGAAAAGACUACAAACAGGACAUUUUUAUCAUAUGAUGGGGCUCUGAUCACAGCUUUUAGUGGGUAUCCUAUUAUAAAGCCCUGGCUAAGUGCGAGGAUUAUUAUACAGCCAUGGAUGAGUGAAGCUGUAGUUACAGAGCUGCUGUGCAAAUCGUCUCUGAAUGUUUUCGACAGUGAGACAGUGCUGUACAGUCCUUAUUGCUGGAGACAUUGACCACACAGGAGACACUGCUGAUUAUGAACUGCAGGGCGAGUUGGAACCCACUUCCAAAAGGUUUCAGCUGAUGGUUGUUUCGAGGGAGAUGCAGCGAUCACUGUGUUAAUGUGCCAAACGCAGGCUCUGGUUACAUAUUAUGCAAGAAACACAACUCUAAAUUCAAGUUAUAUUUUAAUGAG